UACGAAGGGUGCAAGCGUUACUCGGAAUUACUGGGCGUAAAGCGUGCGUAGGUGGUUUGUUAAGUCUGAUGUGAAAGCCCUGGGCUCAACCUGGGAAUGGCAUUGGAUACUGGCAGGCUAGAGUGCGGUAGAGGGUAGUGGAAUUCCCGGUGUAGCAGUGAAAUGCGUAGAGAUCGGGAGGAACAUCUGUGGCGAAGGCGACUACCUGGACCAGCACUGACACUGAGGCACGAAAGCGUGGGGAGCAAACAGG
rnacentral:rRNA from 3 species